AGUGAACGCUGGCGGCAGGCCUAAUACAUGCAAGUCGAACGGCAGCACAGCAGAGCUUGCUCUGUGGGUGGCGAGUGGCGGACGGGUGAGUAAUACAUGGGAAUCUGCCCAGUCGUGGGGGAUAACGUAUGGAAACGUACGCUAAUACCGCAUGCGCCCUUUGGGGGAAAGCCGGGGACCUUCGGGCCUGGCGCGAUUGGAUGAGCCCAUGUUCGAUUAGCUAGUUGGCGGGGUAAAGGCCCACCAAGGCGACGAUCGAUAGCUGGUCUGAGAGGAUGAUCAGCCACACUGGGACUGAGACACGGCCCAGACUCCUACGGGAGGCAGCAGUAGGGAAUAUUGGACAAUGGGCGCAAGCCUGAUCCAGCCAUGCCGCGUGAGUGAAGAAGGCCCUCGGGUUGUAAAGCUCUUUUGUCCGGAAAGAAAAGCAUUCGGUUAAUACCCGGGUGUUCUGACGGUACCGGAAGAAUAAGCACCGGCUAACUUCGUG
rnacentral:rRNA from 1 species